GACGAACGCUGGCGGCGUGCUUAACACAUGCAAGUCGAACGGAAAGGCCCUGCUUUUGUGGGGUGCUCGAGUGGCGAACGGGUGAGUAACACGUGAGUAACCUGCCCUUGACUUUGGGAUAACUUCAGGAAACUGGGGCUAAUACCGGAUAGGAGCUCCUGCUGCAUGGUGGGGGUUGGAACGUUUCGGCGGUUGGGGAUGGACUCGCGGCUUAUCAGCUUGUUGGUGGGGUAGUGGCUUACCAAGGCUUCGACGGGUAGCCGGCCUGAGAGGGUGACCGGCCACAUUGGGACUGAGAGACGGCCCAGACUCCUAUGGGAGGCAGCAGGGGGGAAUAUUGCACAAUGGGCGGAAGCCUGAUGCAGCAACGCCGCGUGCGGGAUGACGGCCUUCGGGUUGUAAACCGCUUUCGCCUGUGACGAAGCGUGAGUGACGGUAAUGGGUAAAGAAGCACCGGCUAACUACGUG
rnacentral:rRNA from 1 species